GAUGAACGCUGGCGGCGUGCCUAAUACAUGCAAGUCGAGCGAACGGACGAGAAGCUUGCUUCUCUGAUGUUAGCGGCGGACGGGUGAGUAACACGUGGAUAACCUACCUAUAAGACUGGGAUAACUUCGGGAAACCGGAGCUAAUACCGGAUGAUAUUUUGAACCGCAUGGUUCAAAAGUGAAAGACGGUCUUUCUGUCACUUAUAGAUGGAUCCGCGCUGCAUUAGCUAGUUGGUAAGGUAACGGCUUACCAAGGCAACGAUGCAUAGCCGACCUGAGAGGGUGAUCGGCCACACUGGAACUGAGACACGGUCCAGACUCCUACGGGAGGAAGCAGUAGGGAAUCUUCCGCAAUGGGCGAAAGCAUGACGGAGCAACGCCGCGUGAGUGAUGAAGGUCUUCGGAUCGUAAAACUCUGUUAUUAGGGAAGAACAUAUGUGUAAGUAACUGUGCACAUCUUGACGGUACCUAAUCAGAAAGCCACGGCUAACUACGUG
rnacentral:rRNA from 1 species